rnacentral:lncRNA from 10 species
GUACCUGUCUAUAAGGAGUCCUGCUUAUCACAAUGGGGCUCCCAAACUUGGCUGUGCAGUGGAAACUCCGGGGGAAUUUUGAAGAACACUGACACCCAUCUUCCACCCCGACACUCUGAUUUAAUUGGGCUGCAGUGAGAACAGAGCAUCAAUUUAAAAAGCUGCCCAGAAUGUUCUCCUGGGCAGCGUUGUGAUCUUUGCCACCUUCGUGACUUUAUGCAAUGCAUCAUGCUAUUUCAUACCUAAUGAGGGAGUUCCAGGAGAUUCAACCAGGAAAUGCAUGGAUCUCAAAGGAAACAAACACCCAAUAAACUCGGAGUGGCAGACUGACAACUGUGAGACAUGCACUUGCUACGAAACAGAAAUUUCAUGUUGCACCCUUGUUUCUACACCUGUGGGUUAUGACAAAGACAACUGCCAAAGAAUCUUCAAGAAGGAGGACUGCAAGUAUAUCGUGGUGGAGAAGAAGGACCCAAAAAAGACCUGUUCUGUCAGUGAAUGGAUAAUCUAAUGUGCUUCUAGUAGGCACAGGGCUCCCAGGCCAGGCCUCAUUCUCCUCUGGCCUCUAAUAGUCAAUGAUUGUGUAGCCAUGCCUAUCAGUAAA